rnacentral:rRNA from 1 species
GACGAACGCUGGCGGCGUGCCUAAUACAUGCAAGUAGAACGCACAGUUUAUACCGUAGCUUGCUACACCAUAGACUGUGAGUUGCGAACGGGUGAGUAACGCGUAGGUAACCUGCCUGGUAGCGGGGGAUAACUAUUGGAAACGAUAGCUAAUACCGCAUAAUAUUGAUUAUUGCAUGAUAAUUAAUUGAAAGGUGCAAUUGCACCACUACCAGAUGGACCUGCGUUGUAUUAGCUAGUAGGUGAGGUAACGGCUCACCUAGGCGACGAUACAUAGCCGACCUGAGAGGGUGAUCGGCCACACUGGGACUGAGACACGGCCCAGACUCCUACGGGAGGCAGCAGUAGGGAAUCUUCGGCAAUGGACGAAAGUCUGACCGAGCAACGCCGCGGGAGUGAAGAAGGGUGUCGGAUCGUAAAGCUCUGUUGUAAGAGAAGAACGGGUGUGAGAGUGGAAAGUUCACACUGUGACGGUAUCUUACCAGAAAGGGACGGCUAACUACGUG